UGUGUCAGGGGCAGCUGGCAGAAAUGUAAUCUGAGUAAACAACAGGCUUGCCCUCCCAACUGGCCAGGAGGGGCAAGGGUCAGCGACUGGAGGAUGAGGGUGUGAGCCUCCCUCCCCAUAACAGCCCCCCUCUGUCCCUCCCCCCUCCUGUCGUCCCUCCGAGACUCCUGACUAGUGAACAAAUGGAGGGGCUAGGAGAGGGAAUAUGAAAAGGACGGGUUUGGUAUUAUUUUUGUUUUGUUUUGUUUUGAAAUUAUACUGGUGUUCCAGAGGGGCUGGGGCUUGGGGACACUGAGCCUGCCCACAGAGAUGCCAGCUCUUUGUUGAACAGCAUGAGCCCAGAGUGAUGCUUCAGUGCCAAAUGGGCCAAUGCUCUUCAAAGCUCUCCCUAUUCUGAGGAAACAACUGCCUCCUGGUCCAGGAGGGCAGCAUCCCAGCUCCACUGGGGACGAAACAUUCAAUCCAUAACCCUACUUGCUGGAUUCGUGAACCUGGGGGCAAAAGGCUCCCUAUCCCCACUUUUCUCUUGAUUUUUGAUUAGAGAGCACAUUCGAGAAUUGUUCAAAGUCACCAGAUGGAGAAAAAUAAAUGGCCCCCCUCAAAAAAAAAAAGACUGCACCGCUGACAAAGCUGGAAGCUGGGCUAGAACUACUGAAGCUGUUUGCCACUGAGUAAUCCAGUGCCUACAUUGUGCCAGUCUUUCCAGGAACACCUAAGGCAUAGAGGCAGACCUCAAGGAGACUGGUCCAGCUUGAGUCAACUGUCUAUAUAGGAGAAGAGUGAGAGAUCAAACUAAAGAGGAAAGAUGGAGUGAGCCCGGGAGGGCCUUGGAUCCAAUCUCAUACCCCAAACAAGUGAUGCUUGUGGUUUCUCAGAAUUGAAAUAAAGUAGGUAGACUGAGAAGGGAA